rnacentral:tRNA from 1 species
GCCCGCGUAGCUCAAUUGGACAGAGCGGCCGAAUCCUAGUCGGCGGGUUGUCAGUUCAAGUCUGACCGCCGGGCGCCA